GAUGAACGCUGGCGGCGUGCCUAAUACAUGCAAGUCGAGCGAACGGACGAGAAGCUUGCUUCUCUGAUGUUAGCGGCGGACGGGUGAGUAACACGUGGAUAACCUACCUAUAAGACUGGGAUAACUUCGGGAAACCGUAGCUAAUACCGGAUAAUAUUUUGAACCGCAUGGUUCAAAAGUGAAAGACGGUCUUGCUGUCACUUAUAGAUGGAUCCGCGCUGCAUUAGCUAGUUGGUAAGGUAACGGCUUACCAAGGCAACGAUGCAUAGCCGACCUGAGAGGGUGAUCGGCCACACUGGAGCUGAGCCACGGUCCAGACUCCUACGGGAGGCAGCAGUAGCGAAUCUUCCGCAAUGGGCGAAAGCCUGACGGAGCAACGCCGCGUGAGUGAUGAAGGUCUUCGGAUCGUAAAACUCUGUUAUUAGGGAAGAACAUAUGUGUAAGUAACUGUGCACAUCUUGACGGUACCUAAUCAGAAAGCCCCGGCUAACUACGUG
rnacentral:rRNA from 1 species